rnacentral:misc_RNA from 1 species
UUUCCGUAGGUGAACCUGCGGAAGGAUCAUUAAUGUGUUUGGGCCUCACGGCUCUUCAUUCCGACGCUGUGCGCCUUCGGGCUGCACGCUGAGGGAGCAUGUAUCCACCCCUGUGCUCACACACGGUGGCGAGCUGGGUAACGGCUCGCCGCUGAUCUUUACACACGUCUAAAAGUCAUUGUAUGUUUAUUUGAGAUAAAAACACAACUUUCAGCAACGGAUCUCUUGGCUCUC